CAUGAACGCUAGCUACAGGCUUAACACAUGCAAGUCGAGGGGCAGCACGGUGUAGCAAUACACUGGUGGCGACCGGCGCACGGGUGAGUAACACGUAUCCAACCUGCCGCAUACUCCGGAAUAGCCUUUCGAAAGAAAGAUUAAUGCCGGAUGGCAUGUAUGUCCUGCAUGGGAUUUACAUUAAAGAUUCAUCGGUAUGCGAUGGGGAUGCGUUCCAUUAGCUUGUUGGCGGGUAACGCCACAAGGCAACGAUGGAUAGGGGUUCUGAGAGGAAGGUCCCCCCACAUUGGGAACUGAGACACGGGUCCAAACUCCUACGGGAGGCAGCAGUGAGGAAUAUUGGUCAAUGGGACGAGAGUCUGAACCAGCCAAGUAGCGUGAA
rnacentral:rRNA from 1 species